UCGAUGAUUGUGUUGGUUCUGCACCUUGU
rnacentral:sRNA from 1 species